AGUGAACGCUGGCGGUAGGCCUAACACAUGCAAGUCGAACGGUAGCACAGUAAGAGGUGGCGCUGACGGGUGGCGAGGGGAGGACGGGUGAGGAAUGCGCCGGAACGUGGGGGAUCACUGGGGGAAAGGGAGGGAAAUACAGGCUACUACCUAAGACGGAAAACGGGGGAAAGCAGGGGAUCUCGGGACUUGGGCGGAUGGAGUGAGACGAUGUCGGAUUAGGUAGUUGGGGGGGUAAAGGCCCACCAAGGCGACGAUCCGUAGCUGGUCUGAGAGGAUGAUCAGCCACACUGGAACUGAGACACGGUCCAGACUCCUACGGGAGGCAGCAGUGGGGAAUAUUGGACAAUGGGCGCAAGCCUGAUCCAGCCAUACCGCGUGCGUGAAGAAGGCCUUCGGGUUGUAAAGCCCUUUUGUUCGGAAAGAAAAGCCGCUGGUUAAUACCCCGCUGUUCUGACGGUACCCAAAGAAUAAGCACCGGCUAACUUCGUG
rnacentral:rRNA from 1 species